CCUACGGGAGGCAGCAGUGGGGAAUCUUGCGCAAUGGGCGAAAGCCUGACGCAGCGACGCCGCGUGGGGGAAGAAGGCCUUCGGGUUGUAAACCUCUUUCAGCAGGGACGAAGCCACUCGGGUUAAUAGCCCAGAGGGUGACGGUACCUGCAGAAGAAGCCCCGGCUAACUACGUGCCAGCAGCCGCGGUAAUACGUAGGGGGCAAGCGUUGUCCGGAUUUAUUGGGCGUAAAGAGCGUGUAGGCGGCCAGACAAGUCCGUUGUGAAAACUAGAGGCUUAACCUCUAGACGUCGAUGGAAACUGUUUGGCUAGAGUCCGGAAGAGGAGAAUGGAAUUCCUGGUGUAGCGGUGAAAUGCGCAGAUAUCAGGAAGAACACCCGUGGCUAAGGCGGUUCUCUAGUACGGCACUGACGCUGAGACGCGAAAGCGUGGGGAGCGAACAGGAUUAGAUACCCUGGUAGUCCACGCCGUAAACGAUGGUGNGUAGGUGGUGGGGUGGUCGACUCCUCCGUCGCGACGCUACGCAUAGACACCCGCCGUCGGGAGGUACGGCCGCGAGACGUAAACGUACAAUAAGUAGUUGUUACGGCGUGAGACGUGCCGACGGCGACGACGAGGGAGGAGG
rnacentral:rRNA from 1 species